rnacentral:rRNA from 1 species
UACGGAGGGUGCAAGCGUUAUCCGGAUUCACUGGGUUUAAAGGGUGCGUAGGCGGGCAGGUAAGUCAGUGGUGAAAUCCUAGAGCUUAACUCUAGAACUGCCAUUGAUACUAUCUGUCUUGAAUAUUGUGGAGGUAAGCGGAAUAUGUCAUGUAGCGGUGAAAUGCUUAGAUAUGACAUAGAACACCAAUUGCGAAGGCAGCUCACUACUCAAUCAUUGACUCUGAGGCACGGAAGCGUGGGGAUCAAACAGG